AUACGGAGGGUGCAAGCGUUACUCGGAAUCACUGGGCGUAAAGCGCGCGCAGGCGGUCUUUUAAGUUGGAUGUGAAAGCCUACGGCUCAACCGUAGAACUGCAUCCAAAACUAUUAGACUAGAGUGUGGGAGAGGAAGAUGGAAUUAGUUGUGUAGGGGUAAAAUCCGUAGAGAUAACUAGGAAUACCAAAAGCGAAGGCAAUCUUCUGGAACACUACUGACGCUGAGGCGCGAAAGCGUGGGGAGCAAACGGGAUUAGAAACCCCGUAGUCC
rnacentral:rRNA from 1 species